rfam:Schistosoma rodhaini strain Burundi genome assembly, scaffold: SROB_scaffold0015632
AUCCAGCUGAUGAGUCCCAGAUAGGAUGAAACGCGUGUCCUGUAU